CCUACGGGAGGCAGCAGUGGGGAAUAUUGGGCAAUGGGCGCAAGCCUGACCCAGCAACGCCGCGUGAAGGAAGAAGGCUCUCGGGUUGUAAACUUCUUUUAUCAGGGACGAAGCAAGUGACGGUACCUGAUGAAUAAGCCACGGCUAACUACGUGCCAGCAGCCGCGGUAAUACGUAGGUGGCAAGCGUUAUCCGGAUUUACUGGGUGUAAAGGGCGUGUAGGCGGGAAAGCAAGUCAGAUGUGAAAACCAUGGGCUCAACCUGUGGCCUGCAUUUGAAACUGUUUUUCUUGAGUACUGGAGAGGCAGACGGAAUUCCUGGUGUAGCGGUGAAAUGCGUAGAUAUUAGGAGGAACACCAGUGGCGAAGGCGGUCUGCUGGACAGCAACUGACGCUCAUGCACGAAAGUGUGGGUAUCGAACAGGAUUAGAUACCCGGGUAGUC
rnacentral:rRNA from 1 species